UACACACCGCCCGCACAUCACGAAAGCCAGUUGUACUAGAAGCCGGUAAUUUAACCGCAAGGAGAUAGCCGUCCAAGGUAUGACUGGUGAUUGGGGUG
rnacentral:rRNA from 1 species